rnacentral:misc_RNA from 1 species
UCGACUCAGAGAAAGAGAUGACAGACCUGACAUAGACUUGGGAGGACCUACUAUGCUAAUGGAACCAAGUAUUCAUGCCCCUGCAAACGCUUUGCCUGCUUCAGUGGAACUUUAUGAUUCAGAUCGAUAAAUCUGAAAUGACUUAGUAUUGCAUUUUGCUGCUGUAUGAUAUGUGACGGCUUGGCUGAAGCAGUUCAAAAGCUCCCAUUGUUAGAAGAGUCGAGGCUGUCAG